rnacentral:rRNA from 1 species
CAAAAUGACUCUCGGCAAUGGAUAUCUCGGCUCUUGCAUCGAUAAGAACGUAGUGAAAUGCGAUACUUGGUGUGAAUGCAGAAUCUCGUGAACCAUUGAGUCUUUGAACGCAAGUUGUGCCCGAGGCCCUGUGGCCAAGGGCACGCCUGCUUGGGCGU